UUACGAUCAUAUAGCGUUGGAACGCCGGUUCCCGUACGAUCACCGAAGUUAAGCAACGUCGAGCCUGGUCAGUAUCUAGAUGGUUAACCGCGUAGGAAUAUCAGGUGUUGUAAG